CACUGGUGUGAUGGAUUCCUACCUUCUGAAUAACCAGCAUGCCAUUAAUUUGGUGCGUUGGGGAAGCAGGACUGUUACCUUGAAAAAAUUAGAGUGCUUAAAGCAGGCUAGUGCCUGAAUACAUUAGCAUGGAAUAAUGAAAUAGGACGGCAUGGUUCUAUUUUGUUGGUUUCUAGGAUCACCGUAAUGAUUAAUAGGGAUAGUUGGGGGCAUUAGUAUUCAAUUGUCAGAGGUGAAAUUCUUGGAUUUAUUGAAGACUAACUUCUGCGAAAGCAUUUGCCAAGGAUGUUUUCAUUAAUCAAGAACGAAAGUUAGGGGAUCGAAGACGAUCAGAUACCGUCGUAGUCUUAACCAUAAACUAUGCCGACUAGGGAUCGGACGAUGUUAAUUUUUUAAUGACUCGUUCGGCGCCUUACG
rnacentral:rRNA from 1 species